AUAAGCGAAUGGCGGAUGCCUUGGGAUAUUAAUGCUAUGAAAGACGUGGCGUGCCUGCGAUAAGCAUCGGGGAGGUGGCUAGCAACCUUUGAUCCGGUGAUUUCUGAAUGAGGAAACUCAAUUGCGGUAAUUCGCAAUUAUCCCGCCGUAAGGUUGGGAAGCGUACCCGGUGAAGUAAAACAUUUCAGUAGCCGGAGGAACAGAAAACAAUGAAAAUUUAUAUUCUUUGCGCUGAUUCUGUAUUUAGCAGAAUCGAUAUGCGCGUAAAGAUUAUGAAUUUUCGCAUUCCCUUAGUAGUGGCGAGCGAAGAGGGAACAGCCUAAACCAAAAUUUAUUUUUUGGGGUUGUAAGGUUAUAGCGUCGGGAGCACUACCUUUUGCUUCGCAAAAGGAAACUCGAAUUUCGAAAUUCGAAUUUCGAAUUACCUCGCGCGGAGCGCGAGGUAAUGUUUGCCGAGGGAGAGCAUUUAGUUAGAAGUUUUAAAAGAAGCACUCUGGAAAGAGGCGCCAUAGGAGGUAAUAGCCCUGUAUUUAAAAAAAUUUCUAUGCUCCUUGCUAUGAUUCUUGAGUACUGUCGGGCAUGAUAACCUGGCAGGAAUCUGGCCGAACUAUCGGCUAAGGCUAAAUAAUUAAUAUCACCAAUAGUGAACCAGUACCGUGAGGGAAAGGUGAAAAGUAGGGGGUUGACCCCGGUGAAAUAGUACCUGAAACCAUUUGCUUACAAAGAGUCGGAGCUCCUCGCCCGCAAGGGUUCGGAGUGACGGCGUGCUUUUUGCAGAACGAGCCAACGAGUUUGAAUAGCCAAUAGUCUAAGCCCUUCUGGGGCGCAGGCAUAGCGAAAGCGAGUGUUAAAAGCGCGAAAAAUUAUAUUGGAUGUUCNNNNNNNNNNNNNNNNNNNNNNNNNNNNNNNNNNNNNNNNNNNNNNNNNNNNAAGGAGUGAAAAGCUAAUCGAGUUUGGUAAUAGCUGGUUCUUCCCGAAACAGCUUUGGGGCUGGCGUCUAUCGUCAGAAUACGGGGGUAGAGCACUGAAUAGAAUUCCUUGGAGUUUCUCCAGGUUUUCUAAUCAAACUCCGAAUACCGUAUUUAUUGGAUAGGCAGUAAGAACGCGGGGGCUAAGCUCCGCGCUCAAAAGAGAAACAGCUCAGAUCGUCGUCUAAGGUCCCUAAAUUAAGCUAAGUGUUAUGAAGGAGGUAUUUUGCCCUCGACAGGCAGGAAGUUAGCUUAGAGGUAGCUAUCUUUUAAAGAGUGUGUAACAACUCACUGCCCGAACUUCUCGGAUUUCCGAGAGGAGGGGCGAGAUGCGCCAAAGAUUCCCGGGACUAAAGUUUAAUACCGAAGACACGGAUUUUGGCAAUUUAUUGCCAGAGUGGUAGGGAAGCAUUCUUAUUGCAUUGAAGCAGGAGUGUAAACGACUGUGGAGCGAUAAGAAGAGAGAAUGUUGGCCUGAGUAACCGCAUUGCAGGUGAAAGCCCUGCACACCGAAAGUCCAAGGUUUCCUUGGCAAUGGUAUUCAACCAAGGGUUAGGCGGUCCUAAGGUAAACCCGAAAGGGGUAGCUGACGGGCAGUUGGUUAAUAUUCCAACCCUUCUUUAUUUUUUCAAUAUGGUGCGGAAUUUAGUAAGUUAGGCGGUUUAUUGGAUUAUCGUGGGCAAUCUGACGCAAGAAGGAUUGACCGGAAGUUGUAUUUAUACAACGAACCUAACCGAGCAAGUUUCCCAGAAAAGCCGUAUUUAAAUAGAAUAAAGAAACCGUACCGCAAACCGACACAGGUGGACAAGCGUAAGUAUGCUAAGGUGAACGGGUUAAACCUCGUUAAGGAACUCGGCAAAUCAGUGGCCGUAAGUUCGCAAUAUGGCCUGCCCUGGCCGCAAGGCUUAGGGCUGCAACAAACGUACUUCAACCGACUGUUUAUCAAAAACACAGCUCUCUGCUAACUCGUAAGAGGAUGUAUAGAGGGUGAAGCCUGACCAGUGUUGGAAUGUUAAGUUUGGGGGUGGUAGGUCGCAAGAUUUACUGCUCACUGAAUGAAGCACCAAUGAACGUCGGCGAUAACUAUAAACAAUGACGAUUGUAGUUAUAAAAUUUCGCUAUAUGCUGGAAACUCUGCAAGUAUCCUAAAAUACUUUUAGUCCCGUGGUUCGGACUACAGGACUGAGUAAUAAUUUUUAGGCGACGCAGACAAUCAGCAGGCAACCUCAAUAAUAUUGAGAGAGUCCUCAGAGACUACACGCGAAAAUCGCUAAAAAAAGCGAUAUGAUAUAGUCCGAUCUUUAUGGCGACAUAAAGGCUGUCCCGAUAAAAAUAUCGCGGACUAAUAAAAAGAUGAAUCGUCCAAAGGUAUUACAAAAUGCUUUUGUAAAACUUGGCUAUAUGCUGGAAACUCCGUAGUAUCCGACAAUACUCCGCUCGUAGUGGAGUGAAAAUUUGUUCGGUGCGGACAAUCAGCAGGGAAGAACCAGCUUGGUUCCCCUCAACGACUAUACGCCAGGCUCCAAAUAUAAUUGGAGAAGAUAUAGUCUGAACUGCAUGGCAACAUGCAGAAUGCAGCAGAAAUGACUGCACCGGUGUUAAAAAUGACUUAUUUAACACUAAGUAACAAAAUUGAGCGUAAUCCCUUGCCGGGUAAGUUCCGGCCCGCAUGAAUGGCUUAACGAGUUGAAGACUGUCUCAACGAGGCGCCCGGUGAAAAUGCAAUAACAGUGAAGAUGCUGUUUACCUGCGGCUAGACGGAAAGACCCCGGAAGCUUUACUGUAGUUAGAUAUUGUGUAUUGAUUUUUAAUGCGUAGCGUAGUGGGUAGGAUUUGAAGCGGGAAUUUCGGUUCUCGUGGAUCCGAAAGUGAAACACCCAUCUUUAGAAAUUAAUAUUCUAAUCCACUUCACUGUGGUGACAGUGUUUAAUGGGCAGUUUAAGUGGGGCACUUGCCUCCUAAAAAGUAAUGGAGGCGUUUAAAGGUUGGUUAGCUUCGGAUGGAAAUCGAAGCGAUAGGGCAAAGCCAUAAACCAGCUUUACUGCAAGACGGCUAUGUCGCGCAGUUGCGAAAGCAGAACUUAGUGAACCGACGUGUUUUUAUAGAAAACACGAAGAUCAUCAGCCAAAAGCUACUCCGGGGAUAACAGGCUAGUAGAGCCCGAGAGUCCAUAUCGACGGCUCUGUUCGGCACCUCGAUGUCGGCUCAACUUAUCCUGGGGCUGGAGCAGAAUUUUUUCUACUCUCCUCUGCGGAAACGCAGGGGUAAUAUACAAGCUCAAAACGGGGAAAGCCUUAAUAGACUUGCAAGUUUGCAGGUCCCAGAUUAUAAUGAAUAAUAAUUAAGGGUAAUCCCGUGAGAAAAAUAUUCUCUGAAGUUAACAAGGCGUACAUUUCCGGUCUUUUAGAUGGAGAUGGAGCAAUCAUGGCCUGCAUUGAAAAACAUGCAGAGAAAAAGUUUGGUUUUAGAAUCAGAAUUUGCAUCAAAAUUAGUCAAAAUAACCUAAAAAUUCUCAAUUGGUGUAAAUCUGUAACUGGUUUAGGAAAUGUCCGUUUCGUAAAAAAGGAAGAAUACGAAUGGAUAACACGAAAUCAGGAAGACGCUAAAAAAUUACUUGAAUUUUUAAUUCCGUAUUUACGGAUUAAGAAAAAACAAGCAAAUUUGGCAGGAAAAAUAUUAAAUUCUAAAAUUACGACUGCCAAAAAAUUGUUGAAAAUCGCUAAGUUAGCAGAUGCAUUGUCAAAAUUAAAUGUUCGCUCGAGAGGGCGGAGGAAAAAUUUUGCAUCAAUGAUCCAAGGAAGUAUUUCUCCUAACGACUGAUUCUUACUUCGUAAGUAAGAUGAGAUAGGCCUGAAAUAUGGUCUAUAACACGGCUUGCACCUAAAACUUUAGUUGGUGACAAUUAAAGCACGGUGAAGGUAUAGUCUUACCCCAUUAGUAAUAAUGGAAGGUCCGAGGUCCCAAGGGUCCGGCUGUUCGCCGGUUAAAAAGUUACGUGAGCUGGGUUCAAACCGUCGUGAGACAGGUUGGUCCCUAUCUACCGCAGGCGUUGAGUUUUGAGGAGAUUUGUUCCUAGUACGAGAGGACCGGAAUGAACUGACCUCUGGUGUACCAGUUGUUCUGCCAAGAGCAUCGCUGGGUAGCUAAGUCGGGAAUAGAUAAGCGCUGAAAGCAUAUAAGCGCGAAACUAACUCCAAGAUGAGAACUCUUAGAUUUCCCGCAGACUACGGGAUUGAUAGGCUCCAGGUGUAAGCGCCGUAAGGCGUUCAGCCGGGGAGUACUAAUAAAUCAUUU
rnacentral:rRNA from 1 species